rnacentral:lncRNA from 12 species
UCCAAGCUUCUCAUCCUAACGUAAAAUCCGUGAAUUCGUGGGUCAAAAUUCCCUGACAACUUCUUCAGUGUGUCUGGGCCUGUUUGGUGGGGGAACUUAUUCCCGAGCAACUUAUUCCCGCGCACAGAGGCAGCCCCUGCGGCUCCCGCUGACAGCACAGGACAAGGGCUGCGGCUCACCCCUUUCACCCCAACCCGAUUCCUUUGUUUUUGAAGAAGAAUGUAUUUAUUUACGAUAGACACACAGAGAAAGAGAGAGAGCGAGGCAGAGACACAGGCAGAGGCAGAGGCAGGCUCCACGCAGGGAGCCCCACGCGGACUCCACCCCUGGGCUCCAGGGUCAGGCCCAGGCUGAAGGCGCGUCAACCGCUGGGCCGCCCGGGCCGCCCCCAAUUUCUUAAAAGCUGCGCUGGCAGACAGUCACCAGGCCCUCUCCAGCUGUGCUCGGUGCCACGCAGGCGGCUUCUUGACUGGCUCGAAGCAUCUAAGCAAAAGUUUGCGGGGGGGGGGGGGGGGGCCCCGGGGCCACCUUAAAAAGCAACCGGGGCGCAGUUCACAUCACUUGAAAAUAGCUUGAAAAAAAAAAUCGCUUGAAACUGCCGAACUGGGAUCCUGGGCCUCACUCCGCAGGCCUCGGAGCGGGCGUCAGAGCCAGGUUUUGCAGUCCUCUCGCCUCAGCUGCGGCCCCGCGACCACAAUUCCAGGUGCCCGCCAGGACCCUUCGAGCCCCGACAGCCCGGAAGCGCCUGACCACGCCUACCCACUGCGCCUGCGCGAGGCGCCCCCUCCGGCGAGCGGGGAGACUGGCGCUGGGCGGGCCGAGAGGCUCGUCGCGCCUGCGCGAAGGCCCCGGGGAGCAGCGUCGUUACUUUCCAAACGACUGGCGGGAACCGUUGGAGGCCGUGCGGUCGCCGUCUGGUCUGCCGGGCAGCAGCGCGCUCCCUCGUCCCUAGGCCUGGCCGUGGCGCCGCAGCUCUCCCGCGAGCAGAGGCGGAAAUCGUGGCCCAGUUCUUCUCAUUUGGCAUCAACAGCAUUUUAUAUCAGCGUGGCAUAUAUCCAUCUGAAACCUCUACCAGAGGGCAGAAAUAUGGACUCACCUUGCUUAUAACAACAGAUCCUGAGCUCAUAAAAUAAUUCAAUCAUGUAGUGGACAAGUGAAAGAUUGGUUAUACAAGUGUUCAGUUCAGAAACUGGUGGUAUUCAUCUCAAAUAUUGAAAGCGGUGAAGUCCUUGAAAGGUGGAAGUUUGAUAUUGAGUGCGACAAGACUGCAAAAGAUGACAGUUUCUUUGGUAGCACACCCAGAGAAAUGUCUCAGAAGGCCAUCCAGGAUGAGAUCCUCUCCAUAAUCCGACAGAUCACAGUUACCGUGACGUUUCUGCCCUUGUUGGAAGUCUCUUGUGGAGGAAUGGAAACAUGUUCCGACUGGGCCUAUCAGGGUUUGAAAUAGAGCCCCAGAAGGGACUGAACCACACGUCUCCAGGAUUCUUCUCCCAGUGUCAUCAAUUGGAGAGAGGAGUCAAGCCUCCAUGGGAAUUCACACAGAGAAACUAGACAACAGCGGAAGGUGCCCUGCUCCAGCUGCAGGGACUCAGCCAGAAAGACUGGAAUACUACAUGACUCUACCUGCAAGUUGGGGAAGGAGAACUCAACACUAUUUGAGAUCUGACUACUGGUGUGAGGAGAGAGAUUGCAGAUGGGAAGGAAGUGGUGCCAAGAGCUGCAGCUGCAAAA